rnacentral:tRNA from 1 species
CUCCAUGUAGCUUAAUAGUAGAGCAUGUGCCUAGCACAUAUGAGGUCUUGGGUUCGAUCCCCAGCACCAAGG